CUUUAUAUUAUUAAAUUGGAGACUGCCUACAAGUAUAGCCCUAUGAAUAUUUCAGAGAUGUCUUUUUGUGAUAUAGGUAAAGAUACACUAAAAAAUCAGGAAUCAUCCCCUCUGGCUCACUGCUGACAAUCCAUAGAUGCGUAUGAGUGAGAUGAGUUCAUGAGUAAGAUGAACAGGGAUGUUCCACGGCAGAUCUUAUGCAUGAUUCAUUUUUUGGCAAGACUGAGAUUUUUAUAGUAUUAAUUUUUUUCUUUUUAAUUCAGAUUUUUUUAACUCUAAAGACUUACCAAGAAAGCUAUGGAAACUUUUACAUAAGGAUCAAAAGGAGCUGUUUCAUGACAUAGGUGGCAAAUUACCAUCAUUAACCCCACAUAUUCAUCAUGUGGACAUAACUGUCCAUUUAUGUUAGUGAAAAUAUAAUAUUGAGACAUAGUCUCUGACUAUAGUAAAAUUUAUUAAAAGUUAAAAUCAGUUUUAUAA